GUUUUACCCCGUGUCCUGCUGCUUCCGACCCUGUAGAGAUGGAAGGAGAGAAGGAGAGACAGAGGCAGCAACGAGAGGAGAAGGAGAGUAACGAGGCAGAAGAUGGCAGGAGGAGCGAAGAUGAUGCCGACAACGAAGAGGAGGAUGAUGAAGGUUCAGAGGGUGCGGCGCUAGUGUGGCAGGAAGGCUACGGUGAGGACAAUCUGGGCCUUCCCAUCAUGCACUGGGAGGCGCUGAGCCUGCGCAUUGCUGAGCUGGAGAAGCAAGAAGAGGAGAAGAAGGAGAAGAAAGCAAAGAGCGGAGUCUCUCUGGAGCGAGGCAGAGCUCCAGUGAGCUGGAUGGAGGACAGGGGGAGGAGGGCCGAGAGCUGGGAAGACGGAGAUGACGCCUGCAACAGCCACGUGCUGGCUCUCACCUCCCGCCUGCAGACACAGAUGAAUCUCCAGCUCUGUUUCAUCAACAACAGCGAAAGUGAGGAGGAAGAGGAGGAGGGAGAGAAGGAGAGCAGCAACACACGAAGAGGGACUGUUCAGGUCCAUAACAAUCCUCAACCUCCUGCCAAGCCAGAGAAAUCUAAAUCCAGAGGCUUCAGGAACACUCUGAGGAACCUUCGAGACCGACUGAGAACAGACCACAAAACUCUGACUGCAGUCUGUAGUGAUCAUGUAGUCCAGAGAAGACAUUUGGAGCGCAGUGAUUUACAAAACUUCAGUAUUAAGGACCUGAACGCCCUUUCCACAUCUCUCAGCAAGGCCAUACAAGACCUGAGCUCAGAGCUGGUGGGUCGCCUGCAGGUCCGAGACCAGCUGAGAACGGAGCAGGAUGCCAUGCUGCUGGAGGUCCAGGAUCUGACCUCACUGUGAACCUGCCCAUCACUCUCAGCUGAGGUUUACCUGUCGGAGCAGUCAAGAGGGGGUUAUGUCAUACAAACUUUUUAACGGUUUUUUUUACCAAACGGUGCCACAGCGGCCUCAGCACACAUCUCAGUCAGUCCCUCCUGCUGUCAGUCUGACCAGCCAGUCACUGUGAAGAGUGUCACUCCCUAAAAGGACUUGGACACUCAGUUACAGAGUAUUUUUUUAUUUUAUUUUAUUUUAGUUGUUAUCUGUGUUGUGUAUUUAUAAGGGAAACUUUGUCUUGGUAAAGGACAUCAUCAGUGCUUUUAAACUCGCAUGUCACAUGAGGACAAUAUUGUGUCUUUUAGAGGGCCAAAGUGUACAUCUGUAAAUUGAGGGUUAUGUUUUGUCAACCCUGCAAUACUCAUGUUGCCACACAUGUUGUGUUUAGCAUCUCUUCUAAAGGCUUCAUAUGCAAUGUAAAAGGGACCCUGUUAGGAAGCUGCUAAUUCUGCCAAUGGAACAAUCUGUCUUUUUUCUACUUUGUUUAGUAUAGUCAUGUUCUCUGGUCUUCGUGCUUUUUUUUUUGUAUAUGUAAGGGAAGAUAUUUUUUAUUUUUAGAUUCAAUCAAUUAGAUUUUUUUUUUAGUCUUGGCACAUGUUUUUGAUAGUGUUCAUUUAACGAACACUACAAAAAGAAUGUUUACUUUUUAUCUUCAUAAAUUCAGUCUAAUGUACAUUUCCACAGCACACUUCUCAUAUUUUGGAAUCUUGCAAAUGCCAUUAGAAGCACUAAAUGGAGCCAGAGGAACCUGGUCUGUCUCAUGUACUACUGUCAGGAUACAGUGAAAGCUUCAGCAAAUGUGACAAAAAAAUAUUUUUGAUAAAAUCAUACUUACUGCACCUUUAACAAAAUUCUACUCUUCUUUUUCAGUUUGCUGUCAGUAAAACUCAACACUUUCUGCGUGUUUCAUAAUAAAAGCCUUUCACUUUCACUCACUCCUAUUAAGCUGUCUUUGGGUGUGUUAAGUUUCAUUCACAGCAGCUUAAAAAAUGGAAAAGUAGAAGCUAUUGACGCUACCUGGCAUUUAUUAGAGACAGCCAAUUCCCUGAACACCAGCUUUGAUUUCUGAAUUAACAGCACACAUAGAUACCAAUGUUUUGGACCAAGUGGCAUGAAUUUUAAGUCAAGUCUUUUCUAAGGGUCUUAAUGCAAGUGGGUCGGGCUCUAACAGCAGUGAGUGGACACUACAGUACACUCCAAGUUAGUGUUCUUGAGACAGAUAUCUGUCCAAAUUCCUCUCUCAUUAGUGGUCAGUGUUGACAUUGUUAUAAUUUAAGCAGUCUUUACCUAACCAAAAGAUGUACUCUUUAAUGUUGUUAUUGCUAGGGUUGAGCGAGUAGCCGGUACAGAGAUCAUACUUUUUACAAGUAUCAAGAGUAAAAUGUGUCAGUAUGCGUACUUAUAAAUGUAGCAACUUUCAUUAAAAAACGUAUUCUGUAAAUUGUUCUCUUAAUCUAAAACAUUCCUCUGUAGUUCAGUUCUGUAAAUAGUUUCCUAAUAAAUAUAAUUAUUGGUUGCUUUUAUUCAGUGGAUUCUUGCAAAUGCCAUUAGGAGCACUAGGAGGAGCCAAAGGAACCUUUUUUUUUUCAGACUAUCUGUCUCAUGUACUACUGUCAGGAUAUAGUAAAAAAAAUAUAUGACUAAAAGUUGUUUUUAUAAAAGUUACUUACUGCAGCUACUCACUAAGAAAAAACAAUGGGUAAAAUGCUUCUUGGCAUUUUCUAUUUCCUUAGGCAACAAUAACAACAAUCAAUGUUUAGGUUUUUUUAAAGACCUGACUUUUUUUUUUUAAAUAUAUAAGCCUCUACCAAUGAGUUGAGGAGUCGCCUCAAUGUUAAAAGUAAGUGAGUAUGAAAAGUCAUAGUUACAGUAACUUUUUUGGAAAUUAUACAAUGGAACAACAUCAAAUAUAUGAUAUAAAUAAUAUAAGUAGUAGUAACAGAUAAUAAUUUAAUCAACAGUUCAUCAUACAAAUUAGUAUUUUUUAUGACUUGUUUUUUAAAAGUAGCAUAUAGGGAACUAGAUCUAAAUUUCCUCCUACAGCCGUAUGUUGCAAAUGACAAUAAAAUAACCUUGAAUCCUUGAAUAUUGACAACAGUGGAUGUUCAUAAAUCUUUUUGUUUAAUAAAAAUUCCACCAUCUCUCUCCAUGUUUGCAUGUCCACAAGCCCUGCCUGUGUUUGAUUGUGCAUUUGUGUGUGUAUAAAAGUGUGUGUAUAAAAGUGAAAAAAAUUAUUUGUCCAAUAGGGGAUUAAUAAAGUAAAUCUUAAAUCUUAUCUUAAUGGACAAUUCAGCUGUUUGGUUGAGCAUGUUUUAAUAAAAGUAAAAAAUCUAACUUGAUGAAUGAUUUCAGCAGAUAUAUGAUGGAAUAACAUUAAAUGUGUUGUUUUACCAACAGUGAAUGAUCAGAAGUUUUAAAUUUUGUAGCAAAUUGUAAAUCAAUAUUUUCCGCUUAAUCCCACCCACUUUUGCUUUAAGCACCACCCUUUAUGAGUACGGCUAUGAAAACAGAUAAUUUAGUUAGUUUAACAGAUACAGAUAUUGGUGUACUCGCUCAUCCCUAAUUACUGCACCCAAUAGUGCCUCAACUUUCCUCAUAUGAUCAGCACUCUGCCAAUCAUACAAGUACUGCUCAUGGUCUCAACAUGUUUCCUUUUUUUCAACCUGAGUGUGGACUGUUAUCCAAGAGUAAACAGCUGCGUUCCAAGAACCAAAUUAGCUGGAAGAGAAUUAACAGGAUUAAACAUCAUGUUAAUCUGGAUUAGUUAAAGUAUAUGUACAAUAAUGCUAUCCUGUUAAACUCUUUGUUUUAUUUACAAAGGAAUGUAAAGAAGUCAAUCAUUAAUCAUUUAGACUUAGUUGUUGUUAAUGUUGUAUUCAUCUAUGUAUUAAACUAUAGAUCAAUUUGAGAUUGAUUGCAUGCUCCAGUACUGUGCUUUUAAUUCUGUUGGUGGGUGGAGCAUUUUGUUUACAUUUGGUAAGAGGUUGUGUCUUUAAAUGAAUAAAGUGUUAUGCCAGUCAGUGGUACAGUGCAGUCUUUACAUUGAGCUGGUUGGUGGGUUUGUGUUGGUCAGUUGAUGAAUAAAUUGUCACCUGUCACUUCAUGUGGAUAUUAGAACAUACAUUUUCUCAUUGUGUGUUAGCUGGGCUACGAGCUGAAAACUUCACUGAUGUUAAUUAAUGUUGAGUUGUGAUUAAGGUUAAAGACUAUCAGUAUAUCAGGAUCAUAUCACUCGCCAAGGGUGCAGUGACAAACAUUGCUGUGCCAUUCAGCAGCCACAGAGCUUGAACCUGUGCUUGGUUUACGUCAUUUUUAUAAUUUUGAAAAGGUCUUUGUGCAUGCCACCACCGCCACACAACCCCAGCAGAAAUUGGGGAUUUUGUCUCAGAGCUAGAAAGUAGAAAAAAGGCCUGAUACAGCUACUGUAUACGUUUUAUAAAAACUACCUAUUGCAGCUUUAAGGAGGGGCUUUGUGUCAGAAUGAGGGACAUAGCUUGAAAACUGCUGUCUAAAUGAAAAAACAAACUGGCAGUUUGACAGAAUAAUAUAUACUAAAGGACCACUAACUAUUUUUUUACUAGAAUGAACCUUCAUGCUCAUAAACAGUGCGGUUUGGGUGGAAAGUUGGGGGUUUGGGGUUGUUAUUGGGCACCACAAAAAAACCAGGGAGUGUAUAAGUGAUGAUCAUUGUAAGUGUACAGGGACUGAAAACAGUCAAACUACAUCAGAUGUACAUAAAUGUGCAUGAACUGGUGGGAUCCAUUCAUCUGUCUGUGUGUUCUCAGAGUGCCUGCAAAACAUCCAGCUCAGCUCAACAGGUGAGAAGAGAGGGAGUCACACACACACACACACAUACACACACACACAAAGCUGAAGCAGGGAAGAAGAAUUGGAUGACACACAGUGAGAGACAGAGGGAGGGACUGAAUUACCAUAGAAACUGCUCAGACUGUUUAGAGAAGCAGCAGAAAAAGGUGAAAGCUGAAGUGGUCCAACUGUCAAGGUCAGCGGUCACCCAAACUGCUACCACACUGAUCGCUGCUUACCACCGAUGUUUGCUGAACUUUUUAAAUAACAAGGAAAAGCUGUGUUUUGAAGCUGCUGACAUAUCAAAGUAAAAGGAUGUUUUUGUAUUUCUUGUGAUUAUUCUGACGGGCAGCAGAUAGAACAGGAGCCAUAUGGAGUAAAAGUCAUUUGUGUCGCAG
rnacentral:lncRNA from 15 species